GUUAAGUAGACCGCCUGGGGAGUACGGCCGCAAGGUUAAAACUCAAAUGAAUUGACGGGGGCCCGCACAAGCGGUGGAGCAUGUGGUUUAAUUCGAUGCAACGCGAAGAACCUUACCUGGUCUUGACAUCCACAGAAGAAUCCAGAGAUGGAUUUGUGCCUUCGGGAACUGUGAGACAGGUGCUGCAUGGCUGUCGUCAGCUCGUGUUGUGAAAUGUUGGGUUAAGUCCCGCAACGAGCGCAACCCUUAUCCUUUGUUGCCAGCGGUUAGGCCGGGAACUCAAAGGAGACUGCCAGUGAUAAACUGGAGGAAGGUGGGGAUGACGUCAAGUCAUCAUGGCCCUUACGACCAGGGCUACACACGUGCUACAAUGGCGCAUACAAAGAGAAGCGACCUCGCGAGAGCAAGCGGACCUCAUAAAGUGCGUCGUAGUCCGGAUUGGAGUCUGCAACUCGACUCCAUGAAGUCGGAAUCGCUAGUAAUCGUGGAUCAGAAUGCCACGGUGAAUACGUUCCCGGGCCUUGUACACACCGCCCGUCACACCAUGGGAGUGGGUUGCAAAAGAAGUAGGUAGCUUAACCUUCGGGAGGGCGCUUACCACUUUGUGAUUCAUGACUGGGGUGAAGUCGUAACAAGGUAACCGUAGGGGAACCUGCGGUUGGA
rnacentral:rRNA from 2 species